CAUGAGUUCGAGGUGGAUGAGGAUGGUGAGGGCAUUGUCAACGCACCGAAAGGAAGAGGAGGCAACUACACCAAUGAUGAAGACGUCUUGCUAUGCAAUACUUGGUUGCAAGUGUCGAGAGAUCCAUCUGUUGGAGGUGAUCAAAGUAGAGAUGCAUAUUGGAACCGGAUGAAGGAGCACUUUGAUUUACACAACAAGAGUGGAGUUGACCGCUCGGUACGAUCUCUUCGCUCCCGGUGGUCGACAAUCAACCAAGAUUGUCAAAAGUGGGUGGCUGCACAAAAGGCGGUUGACAAG
rnacentral:rRNA from 1 species